rnacentral:rRNA from 1 species
UACGGAGGGCGCAAUAGAUAUACGGAAUUAUAGGGCGUAAAGUGUCAGUCGGUGGUUGACAAAGUGUGCUGUCAAAGAGUGGGUCUUAACCUCAUCAAGGCAGUGCAAACUGGUGAUCUAGAGCGGUGUAGGGGUAAGGGGAAUUCCCAGUGUAGCGGUGAAAUGCGUAGAGAUAGGGAAGAACAUCGAUGGCGAAAGCGUCUUGCUGGUCCUGCACUGACACUGAGGCUCGAAAGCUAGGGGAACGAAAAGG